AUUGAACGCUGGCGGCAGGCCUAACACAUGCAAGUCGAGCGAGCGGCGGACGGGUGAGUAAUGUAUGGGGAUCUGCCCGAUAGAGGGGGAUAACUACUGGAAACGGUAGCUAAUACCGCAUACCAUCAGAUGUGCCCAGAUGGGAUUAGCUAGUAGGUGGGGUAAUGGCUCACCUAGGCGACGAUACCUAGCUGGUCUGAGAGGAUGACCAGCCACACUGGAAAUGGGAACCGGUCCGGACUCCUACGUGAGGCCGCAGUGGGGAAUAUUGCACAAUGGGCGCAAGCCUGAUGCAGCCAUGCCGCGUGGGUGAAGAAGGCCUUCGGGUUGUAAAGCACUUUCAGCGAGGAGGCGUUACUCGCAGAAGAAGCACCGGCUAACUCCGUGCCAGCAGCCGCGGUAAUUC
rnacentral:rRNA from 1 species